GACGAACGCUGGCGGCGUGCUUAACACAUGCAAGUCGAGCGAUGAAGCUCCUUCGGGAGCGGAUUAGCGGCGGACGGGUGAGUAACACGUGGGUAACCUGCCUCCUAGAGGGGAAUAGCCUUUCGAAAGGAAGAUUAAUACCGCAAAAGAUUGUAGCUUCGCAUGAAGUAGCAAUUAAAGGAGUAAUCCGAUAUGAGAUGGACCCGCGUCGCAUUAGCUAGUUGGUGAGGUAACGGCUCACCAAGGCGACGAUGCGUAGCCGACCUGAGAGGGUGAUCGGCCACAUUGGGACUGAGACACGGUCCAGACUCCUACGGGAGGCAGCAGUGGGGAAUAUUGCACAAUGGGGGAAACCCUGAUGCAGCAACGCCGCGUGAGUGAUGACGGUCUUCGGAUUGUAAAGCUCUGUCUUCAGGGACGAUAAUGACGGUACCUGAGGAGGAAGCCACGGCUAACUACGUGCCAGCCGCCGCAGUAA
rnacentral:rRNA from 1 species